UUUCCGUAGGUGAACCUGCGGAAGGAUCAUUAGUGAAUAUUAGGGCGUCUACUUCGGUAGGGCCUGACCUCCACUUUCUAACUCUGUGCACUUAUUUGGCGGAAAAGGGUAUUAGUAAUCUGUCUUAUGACGAUUGCGACUUCUUACUUUCUGCGGCUUACUAUAAACCCUAUUCACAGUAUGUGACGAAAUAUCGAAACAAAUAAAAACUUUCAACAACGGAUCUCUUGGCUCUC
rnacentral:misc_RNA from 1 species